UACAGAGGGUGCGAGCGUUGUCCGGAAUCACUGGGCGUAAAGGGCGCGUAGGUGGCGGGAUAAGCGUGUGGUGAAAGUCCGGGGCUCAACUCCGGAUCGGCCGUGCGUACUGUCUUGCUUGAGCGUAGUAGAGGCAGGUGGAAUUCCGGGUGUAGCGGUGGAAUGCGUAGAGAUCCGGAAGAACACCGGUGGCGAAGGCGGCCUGCUGGGCUACUGCUGACACUGAUGCGCGACAGCGUGGGGAGCAAACAGG
rnacentral:rRNA from 1 species